rnacentral:rRNA from 1 species
UACGUAGGGGGCAAGCGUUGUCCGGAUUUAUUGGGCGUAAAGAGCGUGUAGGCGGCCUGGAAGGUCAGCUGUGAAAACUCGGAGGCUCAACCUCGAGACGUCGGUUGAAACCACCUGGCUAGAGUCCGGAAGAGGACGAGUGGAAUUCCCGGUGUAGCGGUGAAAUGCGCAGAUAUCGGGAGGAACACCAAUGGCGAAGGCAGCUCGCUGGGACGUGACUGACGCUGAGACGCGAAAGCGUGGGGAGCAAACAGG